UGGGGAAUUUCGCACAAUGGGGGAAACCCUGAUGCAGCGACGCCGCGUGAUUUAGAAGGCCUUCGGGUUGUAAAAAUCUUUUCUAUGGGAAGAAAAUGACAGUACCAUAGGAAUAAGGACCGGCUAAUUACGUGCCAGCAGCCGCGGUAAUACGUAAGGUCCGAGCGUUGUCCGGAAUCAUGGGGCGUAAAGGGUACGUAGGCGGGUAAGCAAGUUAGAAGUGAAAUCCUGUAGCUCAACUACAGUAAGCUUUUAAAACUGCUCAUCUUGAGAUAUGGAAGGGAGAGUGGAAUUCCUAGUGUAGCGGUGAAAUGCGCAGAUAUUAGGGGGAAUACCGGUGGCGAAGGCGACUUUCUGGCCAUAAUCUGACGCUGAGGUACGAAAGCGUGGGUAGCAAACAGG
rnacentral:rRNA from 1 species